AUUGAACGCUGGCGGAAUGCUUUACACAUGCAAGUCGAACGGUAGAGGGGGCAACCCCUCGAGAGUGGCGAACGGGUGAGUAAUAUAUCGGAACGUGCCCAGUCGUGGGGGAUAACGUAGCGAAAUUUACGCUAAUACCGCAUACGAUCUAAGGAUGAAAGCGGGGGAUCGCAAGACCUCGCGUGAUUGGAGCGGCCGAUAUCAGAUUAGGUAGUUGGUGGGGUAAAGGCUCACCAAGCCAACGAUCUGUAGCUGGUCUGAGAGGACGACCAGCCACACUGGAACUGAGACACGGUCCAGACUCCUACGGGAGGCAGCAGUGGGGAAUUUUGGACAAUGGACGCAAGUCUGAUCCAGCCAUUCCGCGUGCAGGAUGAAGGCCCUCGGGUUGUAAACUGCUUUUGUACGGAACGAAAAGGUCUCUCUUAAUACGGGGGACUCAUGACGGUACCGUAAGAAUAAGCACCGGCUAACUACGUGCCAGCCGCCGCGGUAAUAC
rnacentral:rRNA from 1 species